CAGGCUCAAAUUAAGAGUUUUAAUGUGGUUUUAGACCACAGCCCUAACUCAGGGUAGCAAUGCAUUUCAAUUUUGACAGAAAUUAAAAUGAGGCUGUGAGGGACCGAAGUACAGUGUGUUCAGUGGAUUGAACAACAUACGGAUCGUUCAGCCAACAAAACUUGAAUCUUUCUGGAAAACUUUCAGUAGACAAAAACCGCAUAAACCAACCUUAAUACAGUGCAUGCCAUUGUAAAGUCUAAGUAUAUUGCUCACAGCCUUGCUUUCAUCCAUGUUAAAUUCAACAUAGCAUCCAACCUGACAAGUCUUUGCUAAAGUAUACCGUACUGGGACUGUUCUCUAAUUUCAAGAAACUGAAACUAUUUAUAAUUUGAAUCAUUAAUUAAGACCAACAGAAUGACAGAGUGUGAUAUUGCUUUUAUACAUCAGUUUAACAUACAGGAAGUUAACAGUAACUUAUAUUUUAGACACAAUAUGCAUCUAAAUUAUAUUGACUGAUUUUUUCUCCACCAACGAAAACAGUUCCACACGGUGUCAAAACGGAAUCAACCAUUGGGUCUCCAAGCAACACACAUAUUAGCGGUGUUACAGUAUCGGGGUUUUUGAACAAAUCAAAGUGAAAAUUGAAAUGAGUCGCUCAUAAAGACAGCAGUCCCUCGUUUUGUUCUUGAAUCAUUUUUUGAACAAAUCGGCUAAAUGAAUGCAAUAACGACUCCGUGAUAAAGACAGAUGCUAAUGAGUUGUUAAGUAAUCUCUAAAAAAAGCAGAGAUUGACGCUAUUUCUGUAACAAGAAAUAAGACAAAUGGAGUAAGAGAAACUGUGAAUCUAUCGGAAAACAGUUGGAGCACUUGACAAAAAAGGAAAUUAUUAAAAUAUUGUGCCAUUUUUAUUUUGUGUAAAAAUCA